rnacentral:rRNA from 1 species
UAAGGAAUAUUGGUCAAUGGGGGCAACCCUGAACCAGCCACGCCGCGUGCAGGAUGACUGCCUUAUGGGUUGUAAACUGCUUUUGCUAGGGAAUAAACCCCACUACGUGUUGUGGGCUGAAUGUACCUAAAGAAUAAGGAUCGGCUAACUCCGUGCCAGCAGCCGCGGUAAUACGGAGGAUCCGAGCGUUAUCCGGAAUGAUUGGGUUUAAAGGGUGCGUAGGCGGCUUAUUAAGUCAGGGGUGAAAGACGGUGGCUCAACCGUCGCAGUGCCCUCGGUACGGAUGGGCUGGAAUGGGCUAGGGGAAGGCGGAAUGUGACGAGUAGCGGUGAAAUGCAUAGAUAUGUCACAGAACACCAAUUGCGAAGGCAGCUGGCUACACAGCUAUUGACGCUGAGGAACGAAAGCGUGGGGAUCAAACA